rnacentral:pre_miRNA from 1 species
GUUUUAGGGGUGGAUCUGGCGUCCCUGAGUGUAUGUGGUGAACCUGAAUUUGCCUUGGGUUUCCUCAUACUCAUUCAGGAGUGUCAGUCGCCCCUGCAC